UGGGGAAUAUUGGACAAUGGGCGAAAGCCUGAUCCAACCAUGCCGCGUGUGUGAAGAAGGUCUUCGGAUUGUAAAGCACUUUAAGUUGGGAGGAAGGGCAUUAACCUAAUACGUUAGUGUUUUGACGUUACCGACAGAAUAAGCACCGGCUAACUCUGUGCCAGCAGCCGCGGUAAUACAGAGGGUGCAAGCGUUAAUCGGAAUUACUGGGCGUAAAGCGCGCGUAGGUGGUUUGUUAAGUUGGAUGUGAAAUCCCCGGGCUCAACCUGGGAACUGCAUUCAAAACUGACUGACUAGAGUAUGGUAGAGGGUGGUGGAAUUUCCUGUGUAGCGGUGAAAUGCGUAGAUAUAGGAAGGAACACCAGUGGCGAAGGCGACCACCUGGACUAAUACUGACACUGAGGUGCGAAAGCGUGGGGAGCAAACA
rnacentral:rRNA from 1 species